rnacentral:rRNA from 1 species
CAGGUGUACGUGUAGAAAUACAUUCAGCUGAGCAGUACUAAUUACCCAACAGCUUGCACA